rnacentral:tRNA from 1 species
AGGGGUGUCGACAAGUGGUAAGUCAGCAGAUUUUGAUUCUGUUAUACGCAGGUUCGAUCCCUGCCACCCCUACCA